rfam:Salmo salar clone ssal-evd-575-331 T1 small nuclear ribonucleoprotein A putative mRNA, complete cds.
UUAUAAAGCAUUGCACCCAGGGUCUGUUUCACCCAGACAUUGUACCUGGAGCUUUUCUGUUUGAUUAAAACUUGCCA